AAAGAGUUCAUUUUUGCACUAUUUGUGUUUAGCGUUUGACUGUCCGUCUUAUUUAAAAAAAAUUUUGAUUAGUAUUUUUAUUGUUAUUAGAUGAUAAAAUAUGAAUAUUACUUUAUGUAUAACUAUUUUUUUAAAAAAAUCAUAAUUUUUUUAAAUAAGACGAAUCGUCAAACGUUGGAUACAAAAAUCCAUAAAUACAGUUAAU
rnacentral:pre_miRNA from 1 species